rnacentral:sRNA from 1 species
UCCUGGCAUCCAAGUGCACUGAGUACACCUCCGGUGGGCCUUUCGAUUGCCUCAAUGCCGCAGUCGAGCUUCAUGGCCAGGAGCGCUUCUUCCAGGACACACUGCCCUUCAUUAUUGAGUCCGCGGCCACG